GACGAACGCUGGCGGCGUGCUUAACACAUGCAAGUCGAACGGAAAGGCCCUGCUUUUGUGGGGUGCUCGAGGGGCGAACGGGGGAGUAACACGUGAGUAACCUGCCCUUGACUUUGGGAUAACUUCAGGAAACUGGGGCUAAUACCGGAUAGGAGCCCCUGUUGCAGGGUGGGGGUUGGAAAGUUUCGGCGGUUGGGGAUGGACGCGCGGCUUAUCAGCUUGUUGGUGGGGGAGGGGCUUACCAAGGCUUUGACGGGUAGCCGGCCUGAGAGGGUGACCGGCCACCUUGGGCCUGAGAUACGGCCCAGACUCCUACGGGAGGCAGCAGUGGGGAAUAUUGCACAAUGGGCGGAAGCCUGAUGCAGCAACGCCGCGUGCGGGAUGACGGCCUUCGGGUUGUAAACCGCUUUCGCCUGUGACGAAGCGUGAGUGACGGUAAUGGGUAAAGAAGCACCGGCUAACUACGUG
rnacentral:rRNA from 1 species